UGGGGAAUAUUGCACAAUGGGCGAAAGCCUGAUGCAGCAACGCCGCGUGAGUGAUGAAGGUCUUCGGAUUGUAAAGCUCUGUCUUUUGGGACGAUAAUGACGGUACCAAAGGAGGAAGCCACGGCUAACUACGUGCCAGCAGCCGCGGUAAUACGUAGGUGGCGAGCGUUAUCCGGAUUUACUGGGCGUAAAGGGUGCGUAGGCGGAUGUUUAAGUGAGAUGUGAAAUACCCGGGCUUAACUUGGGUGCUGCAUUUCAAACUGGAUAUCUAGAGUGCAGGAGAGGAGAAUGGAAUUCCUAGUGUAGCGGUGAAAUGCGUAGAGAUUAGGAAGAACACCAGUGGCGAAGGCGAUUCUCUGGACUGUAACUGACGCUGAGGCACGAAAGCGUGGGUAGCAAACAGGAUUAGAUACCCUGGUAGUCCACGCCGUAAACGAUGAGUACUAGGUGUAGGAGGUAUCGACCCCUUCUGUGCCGCAGUAAACACAUUAAGUACUCCGCCUGGGAAGUACGAUCGCAAGAUUAAAAC
rnacentral:rRNA from 1 species